AAUAAUAGAUAACUGAGAGAAUUAAACCAAACUACGACAUUUCAGAUUCACGUCAUCAAAGUACUUCGGAUAACCAACAACAGAUAACACAUUCAAUUUCAAAUUCAAAUCAUUGAUAAGAUAAAAUAGCAAGCUAAAAGAGAUUGGAGAAAUAGAGCAAGAGUCAGACCUUUUAUUAAAUUCAAAACUGCAACUCAGAAGACAAAAUGGAAAAUGACCACAAUCAGAAUAGUAUACAUGGAUACGGCGACCUCAACAGAAUCGCAAAUCGGCAUCGGAAAAUCGAAACCAACACGACCUCAAUCACACUCCAUUGGAUUCCAUGGUUUCAAAACUGAAAAUCAGAAGAAGAAGCUCGCUAACACCAAGUUGUUUGACCUUCUGCUUAUGACUAUGUGUGUGUUUCUAGAAUGGUCACUGGUUUCCGGCAACUCGCCGGCGAGGCAGUAGCGGAAUGUGAGGGAUCAGUUAGCUGGGUUCUGCCGGGGUGGUCCUUAAGAGGAGGGAAUUUAGCACAUGUUUUGAAGGUGUCAAGAAGACGAGGUGCUGGAAGUUAGGUCCGAUGGUUGAUGGCUGUAGAAGCGGCGGCGGCGGCUGGUUUUCUCUAGUCAAGGGGAUUCUAGGGGUUUUGGGUUAUAAUCUCCAUUGUUGUCUUAUCUGAAGAAGAAGAAGAAGAAGAAGAAGAAGAAGAAGAAGAAGAAGAAGAAGAAGAAGAAGAAAGCAGCCAUGGUCGUUUUUUAUGUGAAGUUCGCUAGUUGUCCUGGUGGUAGCCGGCGGCUGGAGGCGUGGUGGAGGCUGACGGCGGUGAGGUGAAGAGAUGAGGGGUAGCGGCGGCUGGCAGUGGGUGGUCCGGUAACGACUGCUUAGAGGUGUCCUAGGGUUUUAUCUUGUGUCUUGUUUUCUAGGGUUUUUGUGUUGUGAAGAAAGAGAUGAACUAGCUAGGGUUUUUUUUGUCCAAUGUUGAAGAAGAUGACUUAUGGCUGCCUUUUUUUGGGUUAUGGAAGAUAGGCUCCAAAUUUGGGCCUAAGCUUUGGCCCUAUUAGGCUCAAAAUAUUAGUCUUGUGACAUAAAAAUAAGAACUAAUCCAAAAUUCAUUCUUUUCUCUUCUUUUUUUACAAAAAUAAUAUUGAUAACAAAAUAUACUACAAAAAUACUAAUUAAUCUUAAUUAAGGAGAAUAAACUAUUAAAAUUAAAUCAAAAUAUGAAACUAUUAAGUAGAGAAAUAUGAAACUAUUUUUGUAAUUUUUAAUUUUUGUUCUUAAAAUAAUGUAAAAGAGUCAAAAUUAGUUAAAAUAACUAUAUUAGACCUAAACUAAGUAUUUAAAUGCUAAAAUAUGCAAAAUUUUGGGGAGGGUCAAAAAUCACAUGUCUACAGACGGUACCUGCAUCUGCACAAAAGAGUGCAAAGUGUAGUAUUAGUACAACCGACUCCAUGUACUGAGUAAGUGCCGAGCCUAACUUCGACGAAGUAGUGACGAGGCUACGGCGGGGAAAUUAUAAUAUAACAUGUAAUAACAUAUAAAUACUAAAGCAAGAAAGAAAUUCUAAACUAAAUAAAAAUAAUAAACUAUAGCAAUAAAUGAAAUAACUCAGCCACCUCUUGCUAGGUCUCAACUAUAACCAAAUUCUCACAUAUGCUUCCACAUUUCAAAUUUCACUUUCAAAGUAACUGUAGGUUUCAAAUAUGAGAUAAACAGUAGAGUAAAAUAGAGAGAUUUCAGUUCCUUGUAUUUAAAAAUCAAUAAAUCAUAAAUAUUCUCCCUUAUCGCUCCUUGUUGCGGCGUGCAACCCGCUCCCACAUGUCCACCCUUAUUCCUCCUCCUUAUAUACAAAUAUCACCCUUAUUUCUCCUGUUGCGGCGUGUAACCUGAUCCCACCUGUCCACCCUUAUCACUCCUUGUUGCGGCGUGCAACCCGCGCACACCAGACAAUCAUAUCACUUUUAUUUAUAAAGAUUUCACAGAUUUGAAAUCAAUGCCUUUCACAAUAUUUUUGCCUUAACAAUUAUAAACAGUAAAUCGUACCACUCAUAACUUCAUCAUUUAUCAUUUCACAAAUAAAUGAACCGUAAAUACUUUAUGUAUUAAAACACUGUCAACUAGCUCACCAUUUUAUGUAUCACAAUGAAGCCAAAGGAACAACCAAUAAUUCCAAAAUACUUGAAAUAAUACUUAAUAGCAAUUUAACGAAACCAAGUAAGCAUAUAGAAUGAUCAUAAAACAAUUAAGCCAUGGAUCAAUUAAAUUGGAAAUGGGGAAGGGAUCAUGUUUAACAGAUAAUUUGGUGGUGCAUAGUCACCUCACCUAUACACCACGCACAUGUAAAUUCACAUAGCAAUUAGUUUGGGGAUUCCUACUCCCUCAAGUCAAGGUUAAACCAAGCACUUGCCUCAAAUUCGCAGGCCACUCACUGCUCAAUUAUAGCUUUUCCUUUUGAAUUCACCUCCAAUACACCCGAAUCUAAUCAUAAUUAACUUAAUAUCAUUAAUUAAUGCUAAAGGAACUAACUUUCCUGAAAAUUAUGGUUUUCCUACGUUUUCUAAAAAAAGAAGAAGUUAAAACCCGACCUCGGGUCCGCUUGGUCCAAACUCGGGGUUCAGACCAAAUUCCGUCUACCCAUUCACCCCCGAGCUCGAGUAUGUGAUUAGUUUCGAAAUCCGACCCCAAUUCAAGAUCAAAAUUUGAUUUUUACAAAAUUCUCUAAUUCUACCCAAACCCCCAUUUUUGCCAUGAAAAUUCUUGAUUUUUGAUUGAAAAGUGAUGAAAAACAUUGGGUAAUCGAAAGAGAAGAGUUUAGAAUUGUUUACCAACACUUUGGGGAUGAACCUGUAUGAAGAAAAUCGCAUCUAGGUCUUUUUAGUUCGAAAAUAUAAAAAACAUGGUUGCCGUCGAGUUGGAUUCUGUGAUUUUUCCUUCUUUUUUUUUUUGAAGAAAAAAUGUGGAGCACCAGUGCACCAGAAACUGUUAUGACAGCAGAUUUUUUUUUACAAGUUAAAAACAUUCCGAGGUCUACCCGAAACUCACCUGAGACCUCGGGGCUCCAAAUCAAACAUGCACGCAAGUCUAAAAAUAUCGUGUGGACUUACUCGUGCGAUCAAAUCAUGAAAAUAACAUCUAAACAAUGAAUUUAACCUCAAAACUCAUGAUUUUUCUCAAGAACACUUAAAUUUCACUAUUUCUCAACCGGACAUCUGAAUCACGUCAAAUCAACUCCGAUUCUCACAAAAUAUCACAAAUAAGACUUAAAUACCAUAACAAACCUGUAUCGAGCUCUGAAACCAAAAUACCGGCUCGAUACCAAUGGUUUCAAACAUUAAUUCUUUUCUUUAUUUCAUUAAUAAUUCAGCAAAAUAAUUUCUUUCAAAAAUUGAUUUCUAAGGCUUGGGACCUCGAAAUUAAAUUUCGGGCACACGCGCAAGUCCCAUAUUUUACUGCGGACUUUUCGGGAUUGUCGGUACACUGAUCCGGGUCUGUUACUCAAAAUUUUGACCAAAGUCAACUAAAAUCAAACUUAAAUUAUAUAAAUUAUUAUUUCUUACAUUUUCACAUAAAAGCUUUCCGGUUUCACGCCCGGAAUGCUCACGCAAAUCGAGGUAUUUAAAAUUAGUCUUUUAUGGCUAAUAAACCUAGAACGAAGUCUUAAUUCAUAAAAUGACUCCUUGGGUCAUCACACAUUGAGUACUAAAUCUGUUGUUUAAUGCUCUUGAGCUCUAUUUAUAUCGCAAGUAUCAUAUUAUAUUUUAUUUAGAAUUUAUUAAGUUCAACUAAACUCGCCCUUUAAUUCAUCAUUAAUUAAUUUAAGUAAAAAAGUUAAACACUUUUUUGCUCAAAUAAUUUGGCGUCGUCUGUGGGGAAGUUUUAGUCGAAAUUUUAGCUCUUUCUAGAUCAAAAAAAAAAGGGAGAAAUUGUCAUCUCUUCUUCGUUUGCACAAACUAACGAUGGCAGGAAAAGGAGAUGCAAGACAGAAAGAAAUAGUAGGUGUCGCUACCAAUAUUUUGAACACCAUCAACAAAGAUUGUAGGGAAGAUAAUGAGAACACCAAGUGCUACACCCAGGCAAAGUGAUUCACCUCCCCCUCAUGAAAGUGUAACCGCUUCGCGCGAAAAAGGAUCUUUCACGUCUACAGCUGAGGAAGCACCACCAGCAGUGAAACGAUUACUGGAAGAGCGGCUGACGAGCACUCUAAACAUCAUACUCGACAAACCGGUUCAAAGGGAUAAUAGAAACACCGCGCAAGCGGAUACCACGACGACCACCGGAGAAUAGCCCACCCCCAAAAUAGGUAACACUUACACCACUGCUGAUACAGGUAAUGACACACUUGCAGCCAUCCUCAAGAAAAUGGAAGAAAUUAAAAACGAGAAAAAAGCACUCCACGAUUAAAUGAGGGAACAUGAAGAAAGGGUCGAUAAGAUACCGGGCGCCCCAAAGUUGCUACCAAAACGGGAUGUUGGUUGGUUCGUCGAACAACCAUACAGCGAGGAGACGGCUCCACAUACCAUCCCCAAAACUUUCAAAAUUGUUACGUCUCGCGUAUUCGUACGUUAAAAUUUCGUUUUUAGUUAACCGACAUAGACUUGGGGAUGAGAUUAUGUUCAUGUUAAUGUACUUACGUUAUUUAUAUCAAGCGAUAAAUAAGUGUUAUAAAGGAUAAAGGGGUACACAGAUUAAAAAGAAUGAGUUUCGUUGAAAUUGGACAAUUUAAAAUAAAAUACGGGUCAAGCGAUAAUACUCAAUAAUUAUAAACUAGUACCAUGCGAGGUACCAUAUGACAACGGUAGUGUAAUAUAUAAAGUAUAUAUGAAGUAUUUUAAAAAUAAAUAGAAUUUUAAGUAAUUUGUGAUAAUUCUUAAAUUAUAUGGAUAAUAGAUUAAUUACCGGGUAACGAAACAUUACCCGAUUAACUAAUAAGUGGAUAAACUUAACAUAAAUCACCUCCCAAGGAGGUACAUGGCAGCCCCCUCUCUUUAUCAAAGUGAUUCAUCAAUCACCUUUAAUAGGUGUCAAAAGCACAAUUUGAAAGUCUUAUCAAGACUUUAUGGUGAACUUUAUCAAAUCAAAAUGAGACAAAAGAAAAUAUUUCACUUAAAGGAUCAAAGACCAUCAUUCUGUCAACUAACGUGAAUAAAAGAAGCAAUAUUUUGGCAUUUAAGCCAAGAAGCAUUUCUAUUUCAUCCAAAGUUCCCUAGGUUAAUCAAAAAUUCUGCCGUGGAUUUUAAAAUCCAAGAACUUGGAACAGAGUUGUUUUUGUCCAAAUUAUUUAGCCAAGGUUCGAUUGGAAAUUCAAAGAACAACAACAAUUUUGUUCAAAUAAAUUUCAGGAACAGGUAUGUUAAGGCUAAGACCUUCCUUCAUUUUGCAUGAUCUCGUAACUGCAUGAGUUUGAUAACGAGGCAUAAAGAGAAAUUCAUGUUCCCGCAUUUAUGUACAUUUCCUACUCUCAUAAGUUACAGUAUUCUCCCUUAUCGGGACUUCAUAUUAAAUUGAGUAUUUACUUCUUCCAAUCAAGAGAGCAGAGAGUUUAUAUAUAUAGUAUUAAAGUAUUUUCAUUACCAUCGAGCUAUAAUCGAUGGGUAGGCCCCUAUUGGGCAACCUCUGAUCAGAUGGUAAGUUAUAUGACGAUUCUACUGUUGCCGAGCGCAUAUGAGCGAGCCCAGUUAGUCGAGAUACAGAGCCUAGUAUGGCCGAGCGCUUAUGAGCGAGCCUACUACGGCAGAGCAGAUAUAUAUGUAUACCGAGCCUUAUAAGGCCGGAUUUUACUCAUUGUAUUGAGAGAAUUGAGUUAGUAUUAUCAGAUAAGCGUAUCUUUAGAUUUUCUUUGACUCCCAGUUGUUCUCAGUUAUUAUAUUAUCAAUUCAGUUUCAGCUUCAGUAUAUUGUCUUACAUACUCAGUACAUUAUUUUGUACUGAUAUCCCUUUCAGGCGGCGCUGCAUUUCAUGCAUGCAGGUUCAGAUAGAUAGACAGGUAGACCUCCUCAGUAGGUAUUGCNNNNNNNNNNNNNNNNNNNNNNNNNCAUAGUGCAUCUAUCAGUAGAGGUUUGUGGAUAUGUCCUGUCAGUUAGUACAGCAUGUUGGGCUUGUAGGCCUUGUACGUAUAUUUUGUUGGCUUUUUAGUUGUAGUAAAUAUGACGGCCUUGUCGGCCCAGCUUUAUGUUGACGGUUAGUCAGCGUUAGUCUCUAUUCAAUUUUAUAUUUUGCAUCGCACAUUAUCUUGCAAUGUGGCCCAUGGCCAAAAAUAUGACAUUACAUGUUCAGAGUCUCUGAGUCAUAAGUGAUACGCAAGGAUAGUUGAGGCACUGAGUGCCGGUCUCACCCCUAGGCGUGGGGCGUGACAAAAGUGGUAUCAAAGCAGUUCUGUCCUAGGGAGUCUACAAGCCGUGUCUAUUAGGGUCUUGUUUAUAAAUGUAUGGCGCACCACAUUAUAUAAGUAGGGGACUACGGGGUAUUUAGGAGUUGGUUACCGUUCUUUCAAAUCUAAAUCGUGUUGUAGCACUGAGUUAUAGAAAAUUUGAUUUAAACUUACGUGUUGACAUUUGCAUGCAUAGAUGACGAUAACUAAGAAGACUACGGCUAGUUAGAGGAAAGAACCAGUAGUAGGUAAGGGGACUAGCAAGGUACCCCCAAUAGAUAGGGCCCAAUCGGAGUCGCAAGGAGAGACCCCUACCCAGCGAUUACUGGCUCAUCCGCCACCUAAGGAGAUUCCUAGGGAGACCGCACAUCUAGCUCCCCCUCCGCUUCUAUCAGAUCCAGACUUGAGAAAUGUGGUGCAUUUAUUGGCACAAUUGGUAGCUACCCAGCAACAGGCUAGGGCAAUCGCUAGUGUAGGACCUUCUGAGGGAUAUGGGAGUUCAAGGGUCCGGGAGUUUAUUGCUUUAAUCCCCCAGAGUUCACGGGGACAGAUCAGAGGGAGGACCCGUAGGAUUUCAUAGAUCAUCUUCACAGGAUCUUUCGGGUUAUGCAUGCCACGGAGAAAGAGGCAAUUGAGUUAGUAGCUUUUCGACUCCGAGAUAUUGCCAUCCUUUGGUAUGAGGGAUGGGAAAGGUCUAGGGGACGUGAUGCACCUCCUGCUAUUUGGGAGAAUUUUUCAAAUGCCUUCCUUGAUCAGUACUUACCACGAGAAAUCUGAUAGGCCCGACUCGAUCAGUUUCUAGCCCUCAAAUAGGGCAAUAUGAGUGUUCGAGAAUAUAAUCUCUGUUUUGACUCAUUGGCCAGAUAUGCACCAUCCAUAAUCGCUACUAUGCGGGAUAAAAUCCACAGGUUUAUAACGGGGUUGGCCUUAGAGUUGACCGAGGCAUGUGCCACCGCUACAUUACAGGAUAGUAUGUAUAUCUCAUGAAUUCAGGCAUUUGCCCAGAAUAUGGAGAGGGGUAGGCAUCGGCAGCAGAGUACGGAGAGGACUGAGUUAAGGCAACGUAAGAGGAGGAGAUUUGCCAUGUCUCAGGAGCAGUCUCAGGGGAGCUACAGCCCCAGUACUUCGAACGGACACCUAGACCUCUGCCACCUCAGUUACAGGGUUACAGGUAUGACUGCUAUACUCAGUUAGGACCAGGUGAGAGCCCCUAGGCGUCAAGUUUGUAGCAACAACGAGGUUUGAGACAGACAGAGCCGUUUCAGCCGCAAUGUGCCAUUUGUGCUCGAGGACACUUGGGCCAAUGACGAGCCGGUUCUGAUGUUUGUUAUACAUGUGGACGUCCAGGGCAUAUGAUGCGAGAUUGCCCAAAUAAAGAUUCUGGGGGUAUGGCGCAACCAGCGAAUUCAGCAACAUGAUCAGCUAUGUCCGUGCAUCCUUCAGGGCACGAGUCUCAGUCUUCGACUGGUAGAGGUCGAGGUAGAGGUAGAGGGUUCAAUUCAGGUAGUAACCAGAAUUGUAUCUAUGCGCUACAGGUCGACAGGACCAAGAGUCCUCACCAGACGUUGUGACAGGUAUGUUGACCAUUUGUUCUCAUAAUGUUUAUGCCUUGAUAGACCCAAGAUCAACUUUAUCAUGUGUUACCUCAUUUGUCGCGUGGAAAUUUGGCAUAAUGCCUGAAAUACUAAGUGAUCCUUUUGCGGUAUCUACAUCGGUUGGAGAAUCGAUUAUCGCUAGACUCGUUUACCAUGGUUAUAUGAUAACACUUUGUGGUCGUCAAACCUUAGCCGACCUAGUUGAACUAGAGAUGUUGGAUUUUGAUGUUAUCAUGGGCAUGGACUGGUUGGCAGCUUGUUAUGCCACAAUUGAUUGUCGAGCAAAGACAACUAGAUUUCACUUUCCGGGUGAGCCAGUCCUUGAAUGGGUAGGUAAUACAGUGACACCCAGAGGCAGGUUUAUUUCCUCUCUGAAGGCAAGGAAAAUGAUCGUAAAAGGGUGCAUCUAUCAUAUUGUGCGAGUUAAAGAUGCAGAUGCUGAGAUACCUACACUUCAGUCUAUUCCAAUAAUAAAUGAGUACGCAGAUGUAUUUUCAAAUGAACUUCCAGGUAUUCCUCCAGAGCGAGAGAUUGAUUUUGGCAUCAAUUUUCCUCCGGGAAAACAACCAAUAUCCAUCCCUCCGUAUAGAAUGGCACCUACCGAAUUAAAGGAGUUGAAGGAGCAAUUAAAAGAUUUACUGGAGAAAGGCUUCAUAAGACCCAGUACCUCACCUUGGGGUGCACUGGUAUUGUUUGUACGGNNNNNNNNNNNNNNNNNNNNNNNNNUUCGGGAGAAAGAUAUUCCCAAGACCGCCUUUAGGACCCGAUAUGACCACUUUGAGUUUCUUGUUAUGUCCUUCGGGUUGACGAAUGCACCUGCCAUAUUUAUGGACUUGAUGAAUAGAAUAUUCCGGCCAUAUUUGGAUCUGUUCAUGAUAGUCUUUAUUGAUGAUAUUCUGGUUUAUUCACGUUCAGAGGAUGAGCAUGUGGAUCACCUACGAGCAGUACUCCAAACCCUCCGCAAUAAUAAAUUGUAUGCUAAGUUUUCUAAGUGUGAAUUUUGAUUAAAAUCCGUAGCAUUCUUGGGGCACAUUGUAUCCGACGGAGGUAUAAAGAUAGACACUCAGAAGAUUGAGGCUGUGAAAUCCUGGCCUAGACCUACCACUCCGACAGAGAUUCGUAGUUUUCUAGGCUUAGUAGGAUAUUAUUGGAGGUUCGUAGAGGGGUUUUCUUCUCUUUCAGCACCAUUAACAAAGUUGACGCAGAAAUCGACCACGUUUCAGUAGACAGAGGCCUGUGAGCAGAGUUUCCAAGAGCUUAAGAACAAAUUGACCUCAGCGCCAGUUCUGGCACUUCCAGAUGGUCCAGAUGGUUAUGCCAUGUAUUGUGAUGCCUCAGAUGUCGGGUUAGGAUAUGUCCUGAUAGAACAUGGGAAAGUAAUUGUAUGUGCUUCAAGGCAGUUAAGGAAACAUGAGCGGAAUUAUCCGACCCACGACCUCGAGUUAGCUGCGGUUGUCCAUGCACUUAAGAUAUGGCGGCAUUAUUUAUAUGGUGUGCAUGUUGAUAUAUUCACAGAUCAUAAGAGCCUGCAAUAUAUCUUCAAGCAAAAAGAGUUGAAUUUGCGACAAAGGUGAUGGCUUGAGUUAUUGAAAGACUACGAUGUUAACAUUCUCUACCAUCCAGGGAAAGCUAAUGUUGUAGCAGAUGCUUUAAGUCACCGAUCUAUUGGUAGCUUAGCACAUGUAAAGGCCGAGAAAAGACAAUUAACAAGAGAGAUUCAUCAAUUGGCUUGUUUUGGGGUUCAGUUAGUGGACUCUGUCAAUGUAGGAGUUGUACUCCAAAAUACUGCAAAAUCAUCUCUUAUAGCUGAAGUAAAGGAGAGGCAAUACGAGGAUCCAAAGUUAGUCAAGUUGAAAGAGUGGGUUCACAAUAGAAGAAGUCGUUGUUAGAACUCAAAUGAGAUGGGGUUCUCAGAUACAAGGGUUGUUUGUAUGUUCCAGAUGUAGCAGGGCUACGAGACAGAAUUAUGUCAGAAGCACAUUAUUCAUGGUAUUCCAUUCACCCUAGGUCGACAAAGAUGUAUCAUGACAUUAAGGAUAUGUAUUGGUGGAACAAUAUGAAGAAGAACAUUGCUGAGUAUGUCACUCAAUGCCCUAGUUGCCAGCAGGUGAAAAUAGAGCACCAGAAGCCCGGAGGGCUAAUGCAGACUAUAGAGAUCCCGACAUGGAAAUGGGAGGCGAUUAACAUGGACUUUAUCACAGGUUUACCUCAUUCCCAUCGUAAGUUUGAUUCCAUAUGGGUGAUAGUCGAUAGGCUCAUGAAAUCAGCUCAUUUCCUAUCGGUCAGAUCUACCUAUAUAGCAGAGGAUUAUGCAAAAUUAUAUAUUAAGGAGAUAAUGCGACUACACGGAGUACCCGUAUCUAUUAUAUCUGAUUGUGGGGCCUAGUUUACAGCACAUUUUUGGAGGUCAUUUAAGAAAGGUCUAGGAACUCAGGUGAAUCUCAGCACAGCUUUUCAUCCACAAAUAGAUGGACAAGCCGAGCGCACGAUUCAGACACUCGAGGAUAUGUUGCGAGCAUGUGUGCUGGAUUUUAAGAGAAGUUGGGAUGAACAUCUACCUCUUAUCGAGUUUUCAUAUAAUAACAGUUACCACUCCAGUAUCCAGAUGGCUCCGUACGAGGCUUUGUAUGGGCGCAGGUGCAGAUCUCCCAUAGGGUGGUUCGAUGUUGGAGAAUCUGGGUUAUAUGGGCCAGACCCGGUUCAGCAGGCCAUAGAAAAAGUAAAGUUUAUCCGGGAGCGAAUAUUGACAGCUUAGAGUCGACAGAAGUCAUAUUUUGACGUGCGGCAACGAGAUUUAGAGUAUAGGGUUAAUGACUGGGUAUUCUUAAAGGUGUCACCUAUGAAAGGUGUAAUGAGAUUUGGCAAGAGAGGCAAGCUUAUCCCACGGUAUAUUGUGCCUUAUAGGAUCAUUCAGAAAGUGGGCCAAGUAGCUUACGAGUUAGAAUUGCCCUCGGAAUUGGAGUCUGUCCAUCCAAUUUUUCACGUAUCUUUGUUACGGAAGUGCAUUGGCGAUCCUACCUGAGUAGUUCCCACGGAUGAUGUACAGAUUACAGAGAACGUAUCAUACAAGGAAGUUCCGAUUGCCAUCCUAGACCGACAAAUCCGCAAGUUGCGGAAUAAGGAGGUAGCCUCCAUGAAAGUACUUUGGAGAAACAAUAAUGUGGAAGAAAUAACUUGGGAGGCCAAGGAAAACAUGAAGUCUAAAUAUCCCUACCUAUUCCCUCCUCCAGAGAAGGGUCCGACUAAGACGUCAAAAUCAUAAGGUACGUGAAUAAAUUCUUGUGUUGGUUAUUGUCGCUAUGUAUAAUCAUGGUCCUGUGUGUCGUUGGGUUAUUAAGCUUCUACGAGGAGAAUUGGUAGUGGUGUUAUUACAAAGACAACCCUGCCAAAGUUAUACAGAACAUGGGGAGUUGAACAUUCGAGGACGAAUGUCUCUAAGGGGGGAAGGAUGUUACGUCUCGCGUAUUCGUACGUUAAAAUUUCAUUUUUAGUUAACCGACGUAGACUCGGGGAUGAGAUCAUCUUGAUGUUAAUGUACUUACUUUAUUUAUAUCAAGCGAUAAAUAGGUGUUAUGAAGGAU
rnacentral:lncRNA from 1 species